rnacentral:rRNA from 1 species
AAAGCUUUGAAAAGAGAGUUAAACAGUACGUGAAAUUGCUGAAAGGGAAACGCUUGAAGUCAGUCGCGUCGUCCGGAACUCAGCCUUGCUUUUGCUUGGUGCACUUUCCGGUUGACGGGUCAGCAUCGAUUUUGACCGUCGGAAAAGGGCUGGAGUAAUGUGGCACCCUCGGGUGUGUUAUAGACUCUGGUCGCAUACGGCGGUCGGGAUCGAGGAACGCAGCGCGCCGUAAGGCAGGGGUUCGCCCACUUUCGCGCUUAGGAUGCUGGCAUAAUGGCUUUAAACGACCCGUCUUGAAACACGGACCAAGGAGUCUAACAUACCUGCGAGUGUUUGGGUGGAAAACCCGAGCGCGUAAUGAAAGUGAAAGUUGAGACCCCUGUCGUGGGGGGCAUCGACGCCCGGACCUGACGUUCUCUGAAGGAUCCGCGGUAGAGCAUGUAUGUUGGGACCCGAAAGAUGGUGAACUAUGCCUGAAUAGGGUGAAGCCAGAGGAAACUCUGGUGGAGGCUCGUAGCGAUUCUGACGUGCAAAUCGAUCGUCAAAUUUGGGUAUAGGGGCGAAAGACUAAUCGAACCAUCAGAUUCGAAC